ACGGCUCUCCCUGACGGCAGGCGUUCUGAUUGGCUGUCUCACCCAUCAAUCUCAGGGAGUGGCCAAUCAGAAAGCGUAGCCUGAAACUCAGCGCGUUUGUUGCUUACCUCAAGGGCAAGCACAACGGCAAGCAGCGGGUGGAAGGCCUCCAAGGUCUAGGCCAGACCAAUCCCCUUCUCCGCCCCCCUCCCCUUCUGUGGCCCAAUCCCCCUCUCCGCCCCCCUCUCUUUCCCAAUCCCCUUCUCCGCACCCCUCCCCUUCUGCGGCCCAAUCCACCUCUCCGCCCCACUCCCCCUCUCUUUCCCAAUCCCCUUCUCCGCACCCCUCCCCUUCUGUGGCCCAAACCCCCUCUCCGCCCCCUCCCCCUCUCUUUCCCAAUCCCCUUCUCCGCACCCCUCCCCUUCUGUGGCCCAAUCCCCCUCUCCGCCCCACUCCCCCUCUCUUUCCCAAUCCCCUUCUCCGCACCCCCCCUCUCUUUCCCAAUCCCCCUCUCUGCCCCCCUCCCCCUCUGUGGCCCAACCUACCUCUAUGCAACCCUCCCCCUCUCAAUCUGACCCACCCUCUGGAACCAGCUCCCCCUUCCAUCCUCUUCCCCAAUCCAGCCUCCUUCCCCCAUCCAGCCUCCUUCCCCCAUCCAGCCUCCUUCCCCCAUCCAACAGCCAUCCCCACCUUCAGAAUGGGCAGCAGAGGCCCCGGAGCCACUUGAGGGAGGUGAUUAAGUGGCAGAGGAGAAUGUUGCAGUUGCAGAUCCCAUAACAUUUGUGGGCAUUCUGGCCACCAUGAGAACUAACCUGGAAGCCUUGCUGGCUAAUGUGGACCAGUUACAAAAAUGUUGUUACUUUUUUUUAAUGACAAUAUUUUUUUAUGUUGAAUAAGUAAAAUGCACACAAAUUAAAAAAACAACAACAAAUAUUUCAAGUUAA